rnacentral:rRNA from 1 species
GACGAACGCUGGCGGCGUGCUUAACACAUGCAAGUCGAACGGAAAGGUCCUGCUUUUGUGGGGUGCUCGAGUGGCGAACGGGUGAGUAACACGUGAGUAACCUGCCCUUGACUUUGGGAUAACUUCAGGAAACUGGGGCUAAUACCGGAUAGGAGCUCCUGCUGCAUGGUGGGGGUUGGAAAGUUUCGGCGGUUGGGGAUGGACUCGCGGCUCAUCAGCUUGUUGGUGGGUAGUGGCUUACCAAGGCUUUGACGGGUAGCCGGCCUGAGAGGGUGACCGGCCACAUUGGGACUGAGAUACGGCCCAGACUCCUACGGGAGGCAGCAGUGGGGAAUAUUGCACAAUGGGCGGAAGCCUGAUGCAGCAACGCCGCGUGCGGGAUGACGGCCUUCGGGUUGUAAACCGCUUUCGCCUGUGACGAAGCGUGAGUGACGGUAAUGGGUAAAGAAGCACCGGCUAACUACGUG